CGAAUGCUGACAUAAGUAACGAUAAAGCGGGUGAAAAGCCCGCUCGCCGGAAGACCAAGGGUUCCUGUCCAACGUUAAUCGGGGCAGGGUGAGUCGACCCCUAAGGCGAGGCCGAAAGGCGUAGUCGAUGGGAAACAGGUUAAUAUUCCUGUACUUGGUGUUACUGCGAAGGGGGGACGGAGAAGGCUAUGUUGGCCGGGCGACGGUUGUCCCGGUUUAAGCGUGUAGGCUGGUUUUCCAGGCAAAUCCGGAAAAUCAAGGCUGAGGCGUGAUGACGAGGCACUACGGUGCUGAAGCAACAAAUGCCCUGCUUCCAGGAAAAGCCUCUAAGCAUCAGGUAACAUCAAAUCGUACCCCAAACCGACACAGGUGGUCAGGUAGAGAAUACCAAGGCGCUUGAGAGAACUCGGGUGAAGGAACUAGGCAAAAUGGUGCCGUAACUUCGGGAGAAGGCACGCUGAUAUGUAGGUGAAGUCCCUCGCGGAUGGAGCUGAAAUCAGUCGAAGAUACCAGCUGGCUGCAACUGUUUAUUAAAAACACAGCACUGUGCAAACACGAAAGUGGACGUAUACGGUGUGACGCCUGCCCGGUGCCGGAAGGUUAAUUGAUGGGGUCAGCGCAAGCGAAGCUCUUGAUCGAAGCCCCGGUAAACGGCGGCCGUAACUAUAACGGUCCUAAGGUAGCGAAAUUCCUUGUCGGGUAAGUUCCGACCUGCACGAAUGGCGUAAUGAUGGCCAGGCUGUCUCCACCCGAGACUCAGUGAAAUUGAACUCGCUGUGAAGAUGCAGUGUACCCGCGGCAAGACGGAAAGACCCCGUGAACCUUUACUAUAGCUUGACACUGAACAUUGAGCCUUGAUGUGUAGGAUAGGUGGGAGGCUUUGAAGUGUGGACGCCAGUCUGCAUGGAGCCGACCUUGAAAUACCACCCUUUAAUGUUUGAUGUUCUAACGUGGACCCGUGAUCCGGGUUGCGGACAGUGUCUGGUGGGUAGUUUGACUGGGGCGGUCUCCUCCUAAAGAGUAACGGAGGAGCACGAAGGUUGGCUAAUCCUGGUCGGACAUCAGGAGGUUAGUGCAAUGGCAUAAGCCAGCUUGACUGCGAGCGUGACGGCGCGAGCAGGUGCGAAAGCAGGUCAUAGUGAUCCGGUGGUUCUGAAUGGAAGGGCCAUCGCUCAACGGAUAAAAGGUACUCCGGGGAUAACAGGCUGAUACCGCCCAAGAGUUCAUAUCGACGGCGGUGUUUGGCACCUCGAUGUCGGCUCAUCACAUCCUGGGGCUGAAGUAGGUCCCAAGGGUAUGGCUGUUCGCCAUUUAAAGUGGUACGCGAGCUGGGUUUAGAACGUCGUGAGACAGUUCGGUCCCUAUCUGCCGUGGGCGCUGGAGAACUGAGGGGGGCUGCUCCUAGUACGAGAGGACCGGAGUGGACGCAUCACUGGUGUUCGGGUUGUCAUGCCAAUGGCACUGCCCGGUAGCUAAAUGCGGAAGAGAUAAGUGCUGAAAGCAUCUAAGCACGAAACUUGCCCCGAGAUGAGUUCUCCCUGACCCUUUAAGGGUCCUGAAGGAACGUUGAAGACGACGACGUUGAUAGGCCGGGUGUGUAAGCGCAGCGAUGCGUUGAGCUAACCGGUACUAAUGAACCGUGAGGCUUAACC
rnacentral:rRNA from 1 species